GCUGGGUGUGGUGGCGCAUGCCUGUAAUCCCUGCUACUGGAGACAUUAGUGCAUCUCUUAAGCUCAGGAGUUCUGAGUAACAGUGGGCUAAGCUGAUUGGUUGUCUGCACUAAAUCUAACACCAGUAUAUUGAGUUGCUGGGAUGGGGGCGGGGGCAACAGGCUACCUAAGGAGUGGUGAAAUGGUACAUGUUGGAAACAGUGCAAGUUACAGUGCCUGUGCUGAUCAGUAGUGGCAUUGGACUCCCACAAGUGGCCAUUGAACUUUCAGUCUGCACAUGAUAAGGAAACCCAGAUU
rnacentral:SRP_RNA from 1 species